AUUGAACGCUGGCGGCAUGCCUUACACAUGCAAGUCGAACGGCAGCACGGACUUCGGUCCGGUGGCGAGUGGCGAACGGGUGAGUAAUAUAUCGGAACGUACCCUGGAGUGGGGGAUAACGCAGCGAAAGUUGCGCUAAUACCGCAUACGAUCUACGGAUGAAAGUGGGGGCUCGCAAGACCUCAUGCUCGUGGAGCGGCCGAUAUCUGAUUAGCUAGUUGGUAGGGUAAAAGCCUACCAAGGCAUCGAUCAGUAGCUGGUCUGAGAGGACGACCAGCCACACUGGAACUGAGACACGGUCCAGACUCCUACGGGAGGCAGCAGUGGGGAAUUUUGGACAAUGGGGGCAACCCUGAUCCAGCAAUGCCGCGUGAGUGAAGAAGGCCUUCGGGUUGUAAAGCUCUUUUGUCAGGGAAGAAACGGUGAAGGCUAAUACUCUUUGCUAAUGACGGUACCUGAAGAAUAAGCACCGGCUAACUACGUGCCAGCAGCCGCGGUAAUACGUAGGGUGCAAGCGUUAAUCGGAAUUACUGGGCGUAAAGCGUGCGCAGGCGGUUAUGUAAGUCAGAUGUGAAAUCCCCGGGCUCAACCUGGGAAUGGCAUUUGAGACUGCAUGGCUAGAGUGUGUCAGAGGGGGGUAGAAUUCCACGUGUAGCAGUGAAAUGCGUAGAUAUGUGGAGGAAUACCGAUGGCGAAGGCAGCCCCCUGGGAUAACACUGACGCUCAUGCACGAAAGCGUGGAGAGCAAACAGGAUUAGAUACCCUGGUAGUCCACGCUGUAAACGAUGAGUGCUAGGUGUAGAGGGUAUCGACCCCUUCUGUGCCGCAGUUAACACAAUAAGCACUCCGCCUGGGGAGUACGGCCGCAAGGUUGAAACUCAAAGGAAUUGACGGGGGCCCGCACAAGCGGUGGAGCAUGUGGUUUAAUUUGACGCAACGCGAAGAACCUUACCAAGGCUUGACAUCCUCAGAACUCUUUGGAAACAGAGAGGUGCCCUUCGGGGAACUGAGAGACAGGUGGUGCAUGGUUGUCGUCAGCUCGUGUCGUGAGAUGUUGGGUUAAGUCCCGCAACGAGCGCAACCCCUGUGUUUAGUUGCUAACGUUUAAGGCGAGCACUCUAGACAGACUGCCGGUGAUAAACCGGAGGAAGGUGGGGAUGACGUCAAAUCAUCAUGCCCCUUAUGUCUUGGGCUACACACGUGCUACAAUGGCCGGUACAGACGGAAGCGAAGCCGCGAGGUGAAGCCAAUCCGAGAAAGCCGGUCUCAGUUCGGAUUGCAGGCUGCAACUCGCCUGCAUGAAGUCGGAAUCGCUAGUAAUCGCAGGUCAGCAUACUGCGGUGAAUACGUUCCCGGGCCUUGUACACACCGCCCGUCACACCACGGGAGUCGGUUGGUCCCGAAGUGCGUGAGCUAACCCGCAAGGGAGGCAGCGUCCUAAGGAAUGGCCGGUGACUGGGGUG
rnacentral:rRNA from 1 species